GCUCUUGUGGCGCAAUUGGUAGCGCAGUUGAUUUGUACUCAGAAGGUUGUGGGUUCGAGUCCCUCCAGGAGCUUCA
rnacentral:tRNA from 1 species